UGUCGGUGGCCAAGGCCUUCCAGUGCCGGGGCUGGAGCGCCUGCAGGAGGAGCGUGGGCAGGCAAGUCCCGGCAAGGGUGCUGCUUUCCUGGGCCUGAGCCACGCCCAGUGGCCGUGGGGCUGGGGAGAUGGCAGAUGUGGGGGAGAAUGUUGAGGCUGGUGAUCGGUGAUAGCUGCGGCCCAGCCAGUUUGGGUACUGCAUGCGCCAUCCAAAGCCCCGAGGCCCGGGAGACGAGCCAGCCCAGUCAGAUCGCCAGUGGAGAGCCAGGCCGGGCAGCUGGGAGACCUGGCUGCAACGGUGCCUCUGGGCUCCAGGGGUAGGUUUGGCCUCAGCGGUCCUGACUCAGGAUGCCCCGGCCUUCUCCACGGGUGCCCAGCACAGGGGCUCCUCCCAGGGCCAACACUGCACUCUCCAAGGAUUUACUCUACCCUCUGGAGUGGGACCCCUGGCAUCACCCGUGCCACCCCACCUUCCUUGCUGGGCCAGCCUCCACACGGCCGAGAGUGAUGAUGUGGUUGAUAAUCACCACCACCAUUAUCGAGCCCAUUUCACAUGCUGAGCCCUGAGCCCCAGACACACAUAGCCUGGGCUCGUCCCCUCCUGCCCUGCUCCCGCGCUGUUCGUACCCUCAAGGUCCCUGUGUGUGUUUGCUGCAAGCGGCAUUUGGGUAGGUUCUUUGCAUCUGUUUUCUCUACUCCUUGCAACAGCCUUGUCCCCAUUUUACAGAUGAUAAAUUGAGCCACGCAGAGGAGAGGUAACUCCCUCCUGUCCUCAGAGUGUCCCGAAGACCCUCCUUUGCCUGCAAACCCAAGUAAGCACAUAUUGGAGAACCAUAAUUCCAAGCUUGGAGGCCUCCCUCAAGGCGAUGGGGAGUGUGGCAUCGUGACCGCUAACCCGGUCCCUCCGCGGCCUUGGGUUUAAAAGCGUCUGUGUCCAGCCGGGAGGUGAACUCCUGACAGCAACGCCCGUCCAGCCCACACCUCUGCCUGGCAGUGUGCAGCAGGACCCCUGAAGCCCAAGUCGAGAGCAGCGCCUGGUCUCCACCCGAGACUGGGUGGCGGAGAAGCGCUGCCUCUGACCUCAGUGAGCAUGGAGAGGCGGUGACAGGUUUGGACAGUAGAGAUUUCAGCAAUUUCUGGAAGGGUGAGUUGGUGCCGCACAACCUUGCCUGGGAACUGGGACACACGGCCUGGACCAAGCUGUGGUGACAGGGACACCCCUCCCAAAGCCUGGGUUGCCUGCUCAGCCUCACUCCCCCCAGCCUGCAUGUGGCCGCCCCUCCCCUCAGCGAAUUUGUCUGUUUCCCCAUCCACCUGCUCCCAGGCUUCAUUUGAGGCUGGGUCCGAGCACCGCCCCGCAGCCUUCCUGGCCCCAGCCCUUCACAGGAGCCUGCUCGGGGAGCCUCGUGGGCGUCAAUGGAGCUGGACGGGGGGCUUCCUCUGCACCCCCAGUGCAGAGGGGACCCCCUCUGUCCCUGACUGUCCCCUCGCCACCACAGCCUGUCUCAUCCAUCUCAGCUCACCACUCCCACCGCCCAGGGGGUCUCCCUGCCAGGUGUGAACUAGGGGUGGUGGGGUGGGUGGAGGGGUGAGCGUGUGCCCUCUUCCUGUGCUGGGGGAGCUGGGGGUGUCAGGUGUGGAGGGAGGAGCCUGGUGGCGAGGCCUGGAGGGACCAGCAGGGGCCGUGGAGUCCUGGGCCUGUGGUGCAUCCCCCACUUCAGUCUGAACAGGACCUGCCUCGGAAGCAGAAUCGGAUUCCGCUGACUGGGACAACGUCACGUGACAGCGAGUCCAGCGCCCGGGGCCUGGGAGAACAAAGGCGGCUGACCCGUCACAGGAGCUGCACGGCAAUGCAUCUGAGACCAUGCGGUGUCACCUUCACAGAAGUGCUCUGGCACAGAGACUCCAGCCUUGCCGGCCUCUCGCCUCCCAAGCACAGAAGCCUCCAGAACGCUGCUUCAAGGACAAGCCCAGGAGACCUGCCAUGCUCAUGCGUGUCUUUGGAAACAGGUUCUCUAAAUUUUGCUUGUGGUUUGUUAAAAAAAAAAAAAAAAUCAGAAGUGUAAUCAAAGACUUCAACAAACGAAGCACCAAAACACUUCAGCUUUGAAAUGUAGAAUUGCAAUGACUGGAAACACGGCUCGCAAAGCAAAAGACAUUAAAAUUCAGUCAUCCCUACAGAAGCCGGACAGGAAUUGAUCACAUCCACUAGUGAAGGCUCAGAAAGUGACAAGAUUUCAUUUGGAAAUCGUACCUGUGUCCUUGGGAACAUCCUGAACCUUGGGAAGCAUCAGCUCAUGGAGUUCCUAUUAACUGGAUAAAUUUAUAUUCUAGAUUGAAAUGGAAUGGAAUUAAGUAGGCCCACGGUUUUGCAGCACGUACAUUUGAAGAAUCAUUAAAAAUCAUCAUAGAAACAAUUUAUUUGACGAGAUUUGUCUUGUACAAAUAUUUGUUAAAUAUUUGUACUCCGAACGGAGGCCAAAAGACAGCACCUGUGGGAAACUUUAGGCUGAAAUAUUUACACAUUUCAACGCAAAAUGUCAGAACUGAGAAUCUGCCGUGUGCUCACAAGGUACCCCAACCCUGCAGAGAGAGACAAUUUUCUUGAUCCAAAUGUCAUCAUCUACCCAGAAGUGUCCAUGGACAGCACAGAUUCACAUUCUGGGGCCGUUAAAAUGUGAAUGUGAGCUAUCAAUGGACACUUCUGGGUAGAUCAUGACCUUUGGAUUAAUUAAGAUUGAUCCAGGCCCGGCGCAGUGGCUCAUGCCUGUAAUCCCAACACUUUGGGAGGCCGAGGUGGGCAUAUCACUAGAGGUCGGGAGUUCGAGUCCAGCCUGGCCAAUUUGGUAAAAACUGUCUCUACUGAAAAUACAAAAAUUAGCUGGGCACGGUGGCAGGUGCCUUUAAUCCCAGCUGCUUGGGAGGCUGAGGCAUGAGAAUCGCUUGAACCCAGGAGGAAGAGGUUGCCGUGAGCCAAGAUUGCGCCACUGCACUCUAGCCUGGGUGACAGAGUGAGACUCCAUCUCAAAACAAACAAACAAACAAACAACCCAAAAAAUUAGC
rnacentral:lncRNA from 10 species